GAUGAAGAACGCAGCGAAAUGCGAUAAGUAAUGUGAAUUGCAGAAUUCAGUGAAUCAUCGAAUCUUUGAACGCACAUUGCGCCCGCCAGUAUUCUGGCGGGCAUGCCUGUUCGAGCGUCAUUUCAACCAUCAAGCCCCCGGCUUGUGUUGGGGACCUGCGGCUGCCGCAGGCCCUGAAAAGCAGUGGCGGGCUCGCUGUCACAUCGAGCGUAGUAGCAUACAUCUCGCUCUGGGCGUGCUGCGGGUUCCGGCCGUUAAACCACCUUCAUAACCCAAGGUUGACCUCGGAUCAGGUAGGAAGACCCGCUGAACUUAAGCAUAUCAAUAAGCGGAGGA
rnacentral:misc_RNA from 1 species